rnacentral:sRNA from 1 species
GCUGGGUGCGGUGGCACACGCCUGUAAUCCCAGUGGCUAGGGAGGCUGAGGCAGGAGGAUUGCGAGUUCAAAGCCAGCCUCAGCAGCUCAGUGAGACCCUGUCUCUA